rnacentral:lncRNA from 1 species
AGAUAUAAUUUACAUACCAUACAAUUUACCCUUUUAAAGUAAAUAUAUUCAGCAGUUUUUUGUAUAUUCACAAGAUGUAUAACCACCACCACUAUCUACAGAAAAUUUUCAUUACCCAAAAAGAAACUCCAUACCCAAGAGUGGUUACUUCCCCUUUCCUGGCAACCACUAAUCUAAUUUCUGUCCCUAUGGAUUUGCCUGUUCUGAACAUUUCACAUAAAGGGCAUCAUAUAUGUGGCUGUGUCUGACUUCUCUCACUAUGUUUUCGAGAUACAGCUAGGCGCGGUGGCUCACACCUGUAAUCCCAACACUUUGGGACUCUGAGGUGGGAGGAUCACCUGAGUGCUGGGACUACAGGCAUGAGCCACCGCACCCAGCCAGUUCCUCAUUCUUUUAUUGUCAAAUAAUAUUCUAUUGUGUGAAUGUACCAUUUUACUUAUCCAUUCAUCAGUUGAUAGUCAUUUGGCUUAUUUCCACUUUUUGACUAUUACAAAUAAAGCUGCUAUGAAUAUUCAUGUACACAUUUUUUGGAGAUGUAAGUUUUCAUGUGGACGUAAGUUUUCAUUUCUCACGAAUAUACACCUAGGAAUGGAAUUGCUGGCCCAUAUGGUAACUCUGUAGUUAACCUUUUGAGGAACUGUCAGACUAUUUUCCACAGCAGCUGCACCAUUUUACAUUCCUAUCAGCAACGUAUGGGGGUUCCAAUCUCUC